GAUGCAAGGCGUUCUUUUUUUUUUUUCUUUUUUUUUUCUUUUUUUUCGAAAAAUUAAUGAAUGUAUGUAUAACUGUUCAUAUUAAAACUUAAAAAUGAUUUACAGGUACCUUAGAAACUUUUUGAAAUAUCGUUACAGUCAAAUCAAUUACAUAAGAAGUGAAAGUAGAAACAAAUUAACUAUUAAAAAAAACAAUCUAUGUUUAGAGAAUUUUAAAUCUUAUGAUGUUUUAAAAUGUGAUAAUAAAAAUAAUAUUAACAAUAGUAAUAGUAACUAUAGUGGUGAUAAUAAUAGUAAUAAUAAUAUAAAAUGUGUUAAAAGAAUUAAAAGGAGCAUAGAAGAAAAAUUAAACACUUGUUUUACAUACCGCAAAUUUGAAGUUGUACAUAAAGAAAAACAAAAAACAAAAAAAAAUGAUAAUAGUGUUAAAAAAGUAAAUAUAAAAAUAGCAGAAAAUACUUUAGCUGAUAAAAAUAAUAAAAAAGAAAAUAGUAAAAAUAAAACAUAUAUAUUUAGAAUAUUAUCGAAAAAGAAAAAAUAUGAUAAAUAUGUAAAAAAAAAAUUUAUAUAUGUGCUUAAAAAAAGAAAUAAUUUAAAUAAUAGUUAUAACUUUGUUAAAAAAAGUUAUAUCUUCUAUAAAUACUACUUAUGUACUCGGAAUGAUGGAAAAAAUUAUCCACGUGGUUUUAAAGUUAGUAUUACAAUGAAUAAUAAUGAUAUCUGCAAUAGUAAUAGGAACAGGAAUUACAUUAAUAGCACCGGAAAUGACAACACCAAUAGUAAUAUCAUCAACAGUAAAAAAACCAAUAGAGGUAGCAAUAAUAGUAUAAAUCCCAAGCCUGUCAUAGAAACACAAAUGGUUGACAAUACUAAUACAUACAUAUUAAAAAACAAAUUAAAUAAAUUUAUGCCCAAAGCCAAAGCAAAUGAAACUACGAAUAAUAACAAAAUAGCUUUAAAAGAAAAAUUAUUUGAUAAAAAUGAUGAUGGUAAUAAUAGUAGUAGUAGUAGCAAAACAAAUCCUAUAUUUUUAACUAGUAACGAAAGAGAAGAAGAAAAUAAUGGUUAUAAAUUUUUAAAAAUAUUAUAUAAAAUAAUUGAAAAGAAGAAGAAUAUAAAUGAAAAUAUAGCAAAUAGUUUAAAUAAGAGAAUGUUAUAUGUAAUUAAAACAAAUGAAGAUAUGAGACUAUUAUUUUUAUUAUUACAUACAAUGAAUAAAUUAGUAUGUAUAAAU
rnacentral:lncRNA from 1 species